UACAGAGGGUGCGAGCGUUAAUCGGAAUUACUGGGCGUAAAGCGCACGUAGGCGGCUUGGUAUGUCGGGUGUGAAAGCCCCGGGCUCAACCUGGGAAUGGCGAUGGAUACUGGCGAGCUAGAGUACGGUAGAGGAGAGUGGAAUUCCCGGUGUAGCAGUGAAAUGCGUAGAGAUCGGGAGGAACAUCAGUUGCGAAGGCGGCUCUCUGGACCAGUACUGACGCUGAGGCACGAAAGCGUGGGGAGCAAACAGG
rnacentral:rRNA from 1 species